rnacentral:rRNA from 1 species
CACGUAGGGCGCAAGCGUUGUCCGGAAUUAUUGGGCGUAAAGAGCUCGUAGGCGGUCUGUUGCGUCCGCUGUGAAAACCCGAGGCUCAACCUCGGGCCUGCAGUGGGUACGGGCAGACUAGAGUGCGGUAGGGGAGAUUGGAAUUCCUGGUGUAGCGGUGGAAUGCGCAGAUAUCAGGAGGAACACCGAUGGCGAAGGCAGAUCUCUGGGCCGUAACUGACGCUGAGGAGCGAAAGCGUGGGGAGCGAACAGG